rnacentral:tRNA from 1 species
GCUCCUGUAGUCUAGAGGUCAAGGAUUGGGCCCUCUCGCGGCUCAGACCCGGGUUCGAAUCCCGGCAGGAGCA